rnacentral:rRNA from 1 species
AUUGAACGCUGGCGGCAGGCCUAACACAUGCAAGUCGAGCGAGCGGCGGACGGGUGAGUAAUGGCUGGGCAACUGCCUGAUGUAGGGGGCUAACUACUGGAAACGGUAGCUAAUACCGCAUACCAUCAGAUGUGCCCAGAUGGGAUUAGCUAGUAGGUGGGGUAACGGCUCACCUAGGCGACGAUCCCUAGCUGGUCUGAGAGGAUGACCGGCCACACUGGAACUUAGACACGGGCCAGAGUCCUCCGGGAGGAAGCAGUGGGGAAUAUUGCGAAUUGGGCGAAAGCCUGAUGCAGCUAGGCCGCGGGUAUGAAGAAGGCCUCCGGGUGGUAAAGUACUUUCAGCGGGGAGGCGUUACCCGCAGAAGAAGCACCGGCUAACCCCGUGCCAGCAGCCGCGGUAAUAC